rnacentral:rRNA from 1 species
GCCUACGACCAUCAUACCCUGAAUGCGCCCGAUCUCCUCUGAUCUCGGAAGCUAAGCAGAGUCGAGCCUGGUUAGUACUUGUAUGGGAGACUGCCUGGGAAUACCAGGUGUUGUAGGCU